GGGAAUGUGGCUUAGUGGUAGAGUGCUUGCCUUCCAUGCAUGAAGCCCUGGGUUUGAUGCCUCAGUUCCA
rnacentral:tRNA from 1 species